rnacentral:lncRNA from 1 species
UCAAAGUGCCAUUCAUUAUUAUGGAUGACCUCUUCCCAAACUAAGGGUUUAGGGACAAAGACAUUGGAUCUGUCUUUAUUGGCCUCCAUAAGAGUGGUGACGCCCCUAGGACUUGUGAAUCUAGCUUGGGGCGCUAGAGUUGUACCCAUCAGUCGAUAGUAUACUCUGUAUAUUAUCGCAAUUUCUCUAGUAUUAUCCUUACUGUUCAUGUUUUUUGUUUUAACAUUAAGAGUUAAAACAUCCAUGAUGUUAGGAUCAUUAAUGUCGACUGAGAAAUUAGGGU